GGGUGCGACCAUACCACGUUGAAAGCACCGGUUCUCGUCCGAUCACCGCAGUUAAGCAACGUUGGACCCGGUCAGUACUUGCAUGGGUGACCGGCUGGGAAUACCGGRUGUCGCCGGCU
rnacentral:rRNA from 1 species